GAUGAACGCUGACAGAAUGCUUAACACAUGCAAGUCAUUGGCGAAGCUGCGCUUGCGCAGUCUAGCCAAGGCGGACGGGUGAGUAACGCGUAAGGAACUUGCCCUGCAGACAGGGAUAACAGACGGAAACGACUGAUAACACCUGGUAUUGUCAGGCUGGCGCAUGCCGGCCUGAUGAAAGGAGACGCUGCAGGAGAGCCUUGCGUCCUAUUAGCUAGUUGGUGGGGUAACGGCCCACCAAGGCGAUGAUAGGUAGCCGGCCUGAGAGGGUGAACGGCCACAGGGGGACUGAGAUACGGCCCUUACUCCUACGGGAGGCAGCAGUGGGGAAUAUUGGACAAUGGGGGCAACCCUGAUCCAGCAAUUCUGUGUGCACGAAGAAGGUUUUCGGAUUGUAAAGUGCUUUCAGCAGGGAAGAAGAAAGUGACGGUACCUGCAGAAGAAGCGACGGCUAAAUACGUG
rnacentral:rRNA from 1 species